AUACGUAGGCGGUGAGCGUUGUCCGGAAUUAUUGGGCGUAAAGAGCAUGUAGGCGGCUUAAUAAGUCGAGCGUGAAAAUGCGGGGCUCAACCCCGUAUGGCGCUGGAAACUGUUAGGCUUGAGUGCAGGAGAGGAAAGGGGAAUUCCCAGUGUAGCGGGGAAAUGCGUAGAUAUUGGGAGGAACACCAGUGGCGAAGGCGCCUUUCUGGACUGUGUCUGACGCUGAGAUGCGAAAGCCAGGGUAGCGAACGGGAUUAGAUACCCCGGUAGUCCUGGCCGUAAACGAUGGGUACUAGGUGUAGGAGGUAUCGACCCCUUCUGUGCCGGAGUUAACGCAAUAAGUACCCCGCCUGGGGAGUACGGCCGCAAGGUUGAAACUCAAAUGAAUUGACGGGG
rnacentral:rRNA from 1 species